AUGGCUGUCGUCAGCUCGUGUCGUGAGAUGUUGGGUUAAGUCCCGCAACGAGUGCAACCCCUGUUCUUAGUUGCCAGCGCGUAAUGGCGGGGACUCUAGGAAGACUGCCGGUGCCAAACCGGAGGAAGGUGGGGACGACGUCAAGUCAUCAUGGUCCUUACGUCUAGGGCUACACACGUGCUACAAUGGGUCGGACAGUGGGGGCCGAGGCAGCAAUGCCAAGGCAAUCCCAAAACCGAUCCUCAGUUCGGAUUGUCGUCUGCAACUCGACGGCAUGAAGCUGGAAUCGCUAGUAAUCGUGGAUCAGCAUCGCCACGGUGAAUACGUUCCCGGGCCUUGUACACACCGCCCGUCACGCCAUGGAAGCUGCGAGUGCCCGAAGUCGGUGCCGGAACCCUUACGGGGCCAAGCCGCCGAAGGCAAGCGUAGUGACUGGGGCGAAGUCGUAACAAGGUAGCCGUAGGGGAACCUGCGGCUGGAUCACCUCCUUAACGGAGCAACGAGUAGACACUCGGGCGAAAGCCUCGAGCGGCGUAAGCCGUAAGUCGAAAGUUCUCACGUAGUUCGCUCGUCUCGCAUCAUCCUUGAUCUCAACUCUCGAUUCUCUUCUACGUUCGACAGGUGUCGAAGCCUGCCGAGCGCGUUUUGUGCCCUCGUCUCUCAACUGAUCGAGAAGGCGUUGGAGCAAGCUGUUUGACAACGGAAGGUAGUAGUGAUCGUGGGAUUCGAUGCGUGAGACCUGAUAAGAUCUCGCGUGUCAAGAAUCAACACUGAUUCAAUUUCGUCGCGCUCCAAGUCUGAGCAAUCGGGUUUGGAAAGCGAGCAAAGAUUGAUUCAUUCGUAGAUUGCGCGUUGUUGUUGUUUUUUAGUUGUUGUUGUGCUUUGAGACAGAAAUCUGAUCAAGCGAAAGAAGGUAUGUGGGGGAUGCCUGGGUACACGGAGGCGAAGAAGGCCGUGGUAAGCUGCGAUAAGCCAGGGGGAGCGGCACACACGCUAUGAGCCCUGGAUGGCCGAAUGGGGAAACCCGG
rnacentral:sRNA from 1 species